CGGGUUUCCCCUCACUGCUUUGAUCUUGUUGUUCUGUUUUCUUGUGUUAUUAAAUCUGGGUUUUCAUUAAAGUGAAGUUAGAUGGAAGAAGAUCAUCUAUUGACAUACAAGGAUUAGCAUCAGCAUUACGAAGAGUUCGUUUUGGGUUUAUAUUGGCAACUUAAGGUACAGAUACUCGAUUUGGUGAUUCUCCAGCUUAGGAUUUCCACUCAGCUGUCUUGGAGAGAUCCAUUGUUCCGGAGCCUAGACUUUUGGUACAGAUCUUUUGAUGUAUAUAUAUGUUUAUCCAGGGGUACGGCGGGGCCCUGUCCCGUCAUAUUUCACUAUCGAUACUCUUAGAGGUCUGUAGACAUAUGUGUGGGUUGUGUAUACGUUUUGUUUAGCGUGUCUAUAUGAUGUGCUAUGGAUAUGUUCGUCUGUAGUGGCAGCCUUGUCGGCUUGCGUAUCAUAUUAUGUUUUGAUCAGUUGUGACUCCUCAGGAGACA